rnacentral:rRNA from 1 species
GAUGAACGCUGGCGGCGUGCCUAAUACAUGCAAGUCGAGCGAACGGACGAGAAGCUUGCUUCUCUGAUGUUAGCGGCGGACGGGUGAGUAACACGUGGAUAACCUACCUAUAAGACUGGGAUAACUUCGGGAAACCGGAGCUAAUACCGGAUAAUAUUUUGAACCGCAUGGUUCAAAAGUGAAAGACGGUCUUGCUGUCACUUAUAGAUGGAUCCGCGCUGCAUUAGCUAGUUGGUAAGGUAACGGCUUACCAAGGCAACGAUGCAUAGCCGACCUGAGAGGGUGACCGCCAACACUGGACCUAGACCACGGUCCAGCCGCCUAGGGGAGGCAGAAGAAGGAAAUUUCCCGAAAGGGGGGAAACCCGGCCGGACAAACGCGGGGUGAGUGUUGAAGGCCUCCGGUUCGUAAACCUCUUUAAUUAGGAAAGACAAAAGGUGUAAGUACCGGUGAAAAUUUGGCGGGUCCCUAUCAAGAAAGCACGGCCAACUUCCUG